UGGAUUGUAGCCUCCCACAUCGCCCAGGGAAGUGGAUCCUGUAAGCCUUAUAUGUAUAUUCCCAUCUCUACCUAGCACGAGACAUUUUGGGAGUUCACUGGCUUCGGGUUCCAUCGGAACUCCGAAGUUAAGCGAGUUCGCACGAGAGCAAUCCCAUGAUGGGUGACCCAUUGGGAAGUUCUUGUGUGAGUUCCUAGAAACAAAACCGUGAGGGCGUGGUCGGGGCCCAAAGUGGACAAUAUCGUGCUACGGUGGAGUCGAGCUCGGGAUGUGUGGGGGCCCGGGCCGGGAUGUGACAAUUUAAACUGACAUACCUCGACCUAGAUUGAGGCAUGCUGGCCGUCAUAUGGGAGUGACGUAACCAUGUGCACAAUACGGAAUCAAUAGAGAUAAAAGGAAUUACGAAUAAAUAAAAACCAAAUAAACUAGAGUACUAGAUAAGAUAAAGUGCUAGUGCGAGAUUAAGUGUGAAACACUCAACCAAAGCAUAAAUAUCCUAAGUGCAGUCAAGCAGGACAAGUACCAAUUACACAACACCCAAGGGUGAUCCUACAUUUACGAUGUUUUGUCAGAAUCACCGUCGAAAUCCCCGCGAUCCACCAAAGCACUUCUACCUAAAACCUGGAGGGGCGCAAAACAGAAGGUGUGAGUGGGAAAAAACAAAGCUUUUCACAAUCAUUUCACUUCUCAAAAGUUCUAACCCCUAACCGUAAAACCUGUAUAAUUUUCCUAGAAAAAUAAUAAUAAGCUGUAUCAGAAUCAUACUCAAGGUGAAAAUCCAAAGAAGUAUACCAUGCCAAAGUAUCUCAAUGCAAUGCUAUAAAUAAUCCAGGUAAAAUAUAUCAAUAUCAAAUAUCGCAUUAGCCAAAUCCCUCUAACUCAAUCUGCACGGCCGAGUAUAUAGCUCAUAACCAAUCUAAAUCAUAUCAAAUCAAAUCCUGCACACGAGGCCGAACCACCUAAAGUGGUAUGUACGACAAGACUAGGUGUAAAAUAAAUAUGCUCUAGUGCUACGAUCACAUGGAGCCUGUGCGAAUAAUCGCGGGUCACCUACGAGUUGGAACCACCUAAAGUGGUAUGUACGACAAGCCUGUGCACCUAACUUGGAUCCAAGGCGAGCAUAUGGUGCGGGAGGUGAACAUCACGUGAAGGACUGUGCCCUAACUCUGGGCAGGAGCACUAACACCGGGGUGCAGGUUUAUGAGCUCUCAAUACAUCACAUCAAAUAUUGCAUAACUAAAACAAUCUCAUACCUUUAAUUUAUAAACUCACCUGGCACUUACCUGUGCAUCCGCAACACCAAUCAUAAAUAUAUGCAACUACUAAUGUAUAAUAAAAUAGACAGAUACUUUGAAUGGCAUUUCACAACAUAUAAUCAUUCAAAUUCAUUUUCUGGGAAAAAUCUCAAGUAUAUAGGUAUAUACGGAAAACCAAAAGACCACUCACUGAUAUGUCGAAGGGUCGUAGCCCCCGAGCCUCGACUGAUGGCGCUCGUCCUCAGGAUAAGUCUCACCUAUAUGCGAAAUAACUAAAUAAACAUUAUUUUAAGCACAUACACAAAACUAGGAAAUAACUUCUCAUACAAAGCUUAAAUGGGAUAUUGAAUAUACCACCAUGAGCUACUCAACCUCAGGAACAUUCCUAUAUUUUUAGAAAAAAAUUUCAACCUCCCACGCGCCGGCCAAGGCACGGCCAGAUGCGCCCCCACGUGUGGCCAAACCUUAAUUGAAACUUAACUGCUAUUAGGAAUAUUCCGUUAAUGGAAUAUUCUCAAAAUGAAGCUUAGGACUAGGAGAACAAAACCUUACCACUUUCAAGCCUUGAAAUCCACGGGAUUUCGCCGGAGGAACCUCGAUAAUCUGGCCAAACUUGAAACUUGCCAUACUUGACUUCCUGACAUCCAAAACACUUUGUUUUUCUUCUCCGAGCUUCACGAAGACAUCCUAAAGCUCACUAGUAGCUUAAAAUCUUCUAAAAACUUCACAUUCACGAUCACAUGAACAGUAACCCAAAACUGGGUUCUUCGGUUCUCGGGAAAAUAAGGUCUUCACGCCUAACCAAGGGUAUAGGUGAGCUCCUGAGCUCACAAGGAUCACAAAGAUUACCUUCACAGCCUUGAUCCAUGACUGGAAGGGAGAGUUUGAAGUUCGUCCGUACGCUUGUACGGAAAGUAGAAGAAAACCGAGAGGGAAGAGAGAGAAAAGGAGUCAACGGGAGAGAUAAUGUGUGUGUGGUCCAAAUUUUCUUACAACCAACCAAAACAAUUAGAACCUUUAGUUCUAAUUGGGUCCAAAAGGUUAGGAAGAAAAUAAGUAAACUCAAUUGUUUAAUUUCUUAGCUUAUUUACACAACCCACAACUCAACUUUCAAGGGUAGAAUCGACAUUUCACGCCAUCAAGAAAAAUAUCUCGGGACGAGCUAUCACAAAAAAUGUUUCCUUCAAGGAUUUUACUGUUCUUCUUCUUCCUCUGCCUCACCUGCUGGAUAUACCCUCGUGAAGAAUUGUUCGCACCAUGCCUGCUUUUAGUUCUCAACAUAACAGUUACGUAUAUCUUUGAUUUCUUGUUUGGUGCAGUUCCUAAUUUCUAACCCAAU
rnacentral:lncRNA from 1 species